UCCUUUCAAUGGUAAAUGUGUAACUGGGUUCUCAUGCGAAGCAUAUUGUGUCGCCACUUCCUAUUGUUCAUAUCAGUCUUAUCGCAAUUAAGUGACGAUGCAGUUGCGCAGCCUUAUUUCGAUAAUAAUCCAAUUCCAUUUUCGGGGGACUUCAUGAGGUUUGUGAAAGAUAUGGGAAGAGUCGUAUACCACCGAAAAGAUGAGAAGAAACCGAGUGAAGUGUUAAAACGGAACUUGAGACCGCUACGUAUCAGCACUACAGUACGGAAUAGACUGGAUCCCACAGGACGUGAUGUUAAUAACCUGAACACGCAAAAAGCAGCUUUAAGGGAUGUGCUCAUGAUGAAGCUUGUGUCUUAUUAUGAAGACAAGUAUAAGCUCUCCAACCCAAAAACGACAGUCACGCCGCCAACUAACGAAUUCGUUAUAGCCGGUGCAAAGAGGCGGCAUUAUGAACCGAUUAGAUAUUUUGAAGACACAACAACACAGGUGACAGUACAGCGGUCAGUUGCCUACAAGCGUCAAGAUUACCGCAAUAGACAAAGACGGCCAUGUAGCGGAAGUGGUUGUAAUUUGAGAAAUCAAAAAAGUGCCUAUCGUAGUUUUCAAAAAUAUUUUUAUUGAACAAUAAAUGUUGAUAUUGUA